rnacentral:rRNA from 1 species
AGUGAACGCUGGCGGUAGGCCUAACACAUGCCAGUCGAACGGCAGCACAGUAAGAGCUUGCUCUUACGGGUGGCGAGUGGCGGACGGGUGAGGAAUACAUCGGAAUCUACUUUUUCGUGGGGGAUAACGUAGGGAAACUUACGCUAAUACCGCAUACGACCUACGGGUGAAAGCAGGGGAUCUUCGGACCUUGCGCGAUUGAAUGAGCCGAUGUCGGAUUAGCUAGUUGGCGGGGUAAAGGCCCACCAAGGCGACGAUCCGUAGCUGGUCUGAGAGGAUGAUCAGCCACACUGGAACUGAGACACGGUCCAGACUCCUACGGGAGGCAGCAGUGGGGAAUAUUGGACAAUGGGCGCAAGCCUGAUCCAGCCAUACCGCGUGGGUGAAGAAGGCCUGCGGGUUGUAAAGCCCUUUUGUUGGGAAAGAAAAGCAGCAGGUUAAUACCCCGCUGUUCUGGCGGUACCCAAAGAAUAAGCACCGGCUAACUUCGU